CUCCAUGUAUGAUGGUAUAUUACUUUUGUGUUUUCAUUCCAUCUAGGCAAGCUCAGCAGUACCAGUUGAUGGCCCUCUUUCCUACAUAAGUCAUAGGACUUAGAAACUUAAAGGGACCAUAAAGAUCAUCCAGCCACACUCCCUCAUUUUACAGAUGUGGAUUGUCAAAAUGAUCACUUUUCAAUAAAGCCAUUGAACAGGCUCCAUGGUGUCUGGAGACUUGAAGUUUCUCCUUCUCAAAGAAGAGUUGCUGCCCAUUUGGUUGCAUGAUCUAAUGGAAUUUGUAGCUGGAUAAGCACAUUAGCGACAGGAACCACAAAGAACAGAAGUGUGUAUUUAUGGGGCAGCCCUGCCGAUGAAGGUGAUCGUAAGUCAAUGCCUCACGACUCCCCAGCCUUUGUCACAUUAAUUCACUUGUGCACACAAGAUGUCCACAGCUCCUAAGGGUG
rnacentral:lncRNA from 1 species